CCUACGGGAGGCAGCAGUGGGGAAUAUUGCGCAAUGGGCGAAAGCCUGACGCAGCGACGCCGCGUGAGGGAUGAAGGUCUUCGGAUCGUAAACCUCUGUCAGCAGGGAAGAACGGUCACUGUGCUAAUCAGCAGUGAAUUGACGGUACCUGCAAAGGAAGCACCGGCAAACUCCGUCCCAGCAGCCGCGGUAAUACGGAGGGUGCGGGCGUUAAUCGGAAUUACUGGGCGUAAAGCGCUCGUAGGCGGUAUUGCAAGUCAAGGGUGAAAUCCCCGCGCGGAACGUGGGAACUGCCUUUGAAACUGGCAAACUGGAGUGGGUGAGAGGAUAGUGGAAUUCGAGGUGUAGGAGUGAAAUGCGUAGAUAUCGGGAGGAACAUCAGUGGCGAAGGCGACUAUCUGGCACAUAACUGACGCUGAGGAGCGAAAGCGUGGGUAGCAAACAGGAUUAGAUACCCGGGUAGUC
rnacentral:rRNA from 1 species